rnacentral:rRNA from 1 species
UACGAAGGGGGCUAGCGUUGUUCGGAUUUACUGGGCGUAAAGCGCACGUAGGCGGAUUCCUAAGUCAGAGGUGAAAUCCCAAGGCUCAACCUUGGAACUGCCUUUGAUACUGGGGAUCUUGAGUCCGGAAGAGGUGAGUGGAACUGCGAGUGUAGAGGUGAAAUUCGUAGAUAUUCGCAAGAACACCAGUGGCGAAGGCGGCUCACUGGUCCGGUACUGACGCUGAGGUGCGAAAGCGUGGGGAGCAAACAGG